CCAUUCCCGUGAUUUUUUUUUAUGUGCUCAACGGCUUUCCGCCAAUUUAUUGAACAAACUUUCCCAAAGAACCCAUACGUUUUGAAGCCUCUAACUAUUGAAAAACAAUCAAAAACCUGCGAAGUAACACUUUACCCUAACGUCUCCUAUAAAGUAUUUCACCCCAAUUCCCGUCGUACCCCUUUCUCCUCUAUGGCUUGACCACAGUGAUGUGGUGAGUUUCUGAUCAGCAAACUGUCAGAUUUUCGGUUUGUUUUGAUUGAGUUCCGCGCUCACAUUUCUGUGUAUCGACGAAAUUCGAAGGAGAAAUUCCAACGACGUUUCACCGUUCACCUUCAAGGCUACCCGAACGAGAUUCCGGAUUUCGUUGGCCGGAAGAUAUCCCGGAUCCAAAAUCAGUGCAUCAAGAUCCUGGACUUGUAUAUGCGGAGGUUGCUGGACGAUAAAGUGAUCUCCGGACACGACAGAUCGUUGAGCAGCUGUGUGUUUGAUCGUGUAGCAGAAACGGUUCCGGGAAGCCAAUCUAAUUCAACGGCAUCCAGAUUUACGGCCAUCCAAGCUGUACCCGUACAAGAGAGCGUUCCGAAAACAACUGACCGCCGGAGAAGAAUAUUGUGUGGCAAAAUACGAUUGCCUUAUGCGAACUACGGAGCAUUACGGAAGGAAUGUUACGGGAGCGGGAGAAGAGAAGAUAGCGGCCAACGAAGGUAGAGAUGGAUGAGGUUAUUAUAUUGAUUUUGGAAUUGGAACAGAAGUUUUCCCUGCAGAUUUACAACGGCAACCGUCAGCGGAUCGACGAAGAUCUUCAACAGCUGACGGAACACAGAAUGCGAAGCUGGAAUCCUACAGGACGUGACCUGGAAAAUUAGCACCGCAAGCGUAUCGAAUCACGACUCGGAUUGGACCAGAAACUCCCGGAGAUUAAAUGCCGUCGGCAGCAGGGAGCUGACGAAAAGCAAGCUAUGCAAGAUUUCCUCGCAGUUUUUGUUCGAUCUCCCAGAAGUUGCAUGGAGUACAUCCGGAAUCGACCUAUGACUCGCUACAACCCUAGGAGCUGCCAUAUACCAGGAAAUCCAGUACAAUCAUAUGAACAGUGCCUGCAUUGUGAUGAUUCUGAACGUCGCCACCGGAGCUACGAUUAGGCGUCCAACAGCCCCAGCGCCUAGCAAUAGUGCACUUACGCACUUAAUGACGAAACUGCGCACCCAUUUUACCCAUGUGUACACGGGCCGGAAGCGAACGAACUGACCGCAGCAUUGGCAAAGAUGGUCACAUCAGUACUAUGUCCUAUUUUGGUGGAAGCUGCAGCUCAGCAGAGCUACUAAAUGCAUCCAGUACGCAUGUGCGCUUCUGUGAUCGAGGUCAAGUUAGACGACAAUACCGCGCUGCAUGCUGAUUGCGUUCGCCAUCUGCACUACCCUACUGGCAGUGGUUCACAUGCUUACCUUUAUGAUCAGUACAUGCAUCCUGCCGAACGUCGAAACUAUUUGCAACCAACACAGUAGCUAUUCCUGUCCACCAUGAACAAAUAUUACACCAAUCACGAUAACAUUACUUUCUGGAGGAGUUGCGUUUUGAACCAUUGACCUACAUCAUCCAUGCGGGUAGUCUAUCAUUAGGUUAUUUAAGAAGUAGUUAUUGUAUUAUUUACUUAAGGUUUGAUAAAUAAACUAGGGUGGGCUAGGGGAAAGGGGGGGAGGGUGGUGGGAGUGCUAUAAAAUAUUACCGAAAAUACCUCACGCAUCGUAAACGUCUUAAAGGAUCGCAUCAUCUCGUUUAUUCGUUCAUAAAUAUUUUUUUACUCUCGCUGGCAAGGUGAUGAAGAAACAGUUGGCUAUUUCCAAGAACUUCUGGAGUUGUCCCAGAUGUUCUUGGAAUAUGUUUGCUCUAUAUUUGUUAUAACUUAUAAGGUUCACCACGUCCUCCCUUGCAAGGUGAUGCAAAAACAUUUGGCUAUUUCCAAGAACUUCUGGAGUUGUCCCAGUUGUUCUUAGACUAUGUUUGCUCUAGAUUUGUUGUAGAUUUUAAGGGUCACCACGUCCUCCCUUGCAAGGUGAUGCAAAAACAUUUGGCUAUGUCCAAGAACUUCUGGAGUUGUCCCAGUUGUUCUUGGAUUAUAUUUGCUCUAUAUUUGUUAUAGCUUUUAAGGUUCACCACGUCCUCCCUUGCAAGGUGAUGCAAAGCAUUUGGCUACGUUCAAGAACUUCUGGAGUUGUCUCAGAUGUUCUUGGACUAUGUUUGCUCUAGAUUUGUUGUAAAUUUUAAGGUUCACCACGUCCUUCCUUGCAAGGUGAUGCAAAAACAUUUGGCUAUGUCCAAGAACUUCUGGAGUUGUUCUUAGACUAUGUUUGCUCUAGAUUUGUUGUAGAUUUUAAGGUUCACCACGUCCUCCCUUGCAAGGUGAUGCAAAAACAUUUGGUUUAUGUCCAAGAACUUCUGGAGUUGACCCAGUUGUUCUUGGAUUAUGUUUGCUCUAGAUUUGUUGUAGAUUUUAAGGUUGACCACGUCCUCUCUUGCGAGGUGAUGCAAAAACAUUUGGUUUAUAUCCAAGAACUUCUGGAGUUGUCCCAGUUGUUCUUGGACUAUGUUUGCUCUAGAUUUGUUGUAGAUUUUAAGGUUCACCACGUCCUCCCUUGCAAGAUGAUGCAAAAACAUUUGGCUAUGUCCAAGAACUUCUGGAGUUGUCCCAGUUGUUCUUAGACUAUGUUUGCUCUAGAUUUGUUGUAGAUUUUAAGGUUCACCACGUCCUCCCUUGCGAGGUGAUGCAAAAACAUUUUGUUUAUGUCCAAGAACUUCUGGAGUUGUCCCAGUUGUUCUUAGACUAUGUUUGCUCUAGAUAUGUUGUAGAUUUUAAGGUUCACCACGUCCUUCCUUGCAAGGUGAUGCAAAAACAUUUGGCUAUGGGACAACUCCAGAAGUUCUUGGACUGUGCUCUAGAUUUGUUGUAGAUUUUAAGGUUCACCACGUCCUCCCUUGCAAGGUGAUGCAAAAACAUUUGGCUAUGUCCAAGAACUUCUGGAGUUGUCCCAGUUGUUCUUAGACUAUGUUUGCUCUAGAUUUGUUGUAGAUUUUAAGGUUCGCCACGUCCUCCCUUGCAAGGUGAUGCAAAAACAUUUGGCUAUGUCCAAGAACUUCUGGAGUUGUCCCAGUUGUUCUUGGAUUAUGUUUGCUCUAGAUUUGUUGUAGAUUUAAGGUUCACCACGUCCUCCCUUGCAAGGUGGUUCAAAAACAUUUGGAUAUGUCCAAGAACUUCUGGAGUUGUCCCAGAUGUUCUUGGAUUAUGUUUGCUCUAUAUUUGUUAUAGCUUUUAAGGUUCACCACGUCCUCCCUUGCAAGGUGAUGCAAAAACAUUUGGCUAUGUCCAAGAACUUCUGGAGUUGUCCCAGUUGUUCUUGGAUUAUGUUUGCUCUAGAUUUGUUGUAGAUUUUAAGGUUCACCGCGUCCUCCCUUGCAAGGUGA